UACGUAGGGUGCAAGCGUUAAUCGGAAUUACUGGGCGUAAAGCGUGCGCAGGCGGUGAUGUAAGACAGAUGUGAAAGCCCCGGGCUCAACCUGGGAAUGGCGAUGGAUACUGGCUCGCUAGAGUGCGGUAGAGGAGAGUGGAAUUCCCGGUGUAGCAGUGAAAUGCGUAGAGAUCGGGAGGAACAUCAGUUGCGAAGGCGGCUCUCUGGACCAGCACUGACACUGAGGCACGAAAGCGUGGGGAGCAAACAGG
rnacentral:rRNA from 1 species